AGAGUACUAAAUGAUGUGAUCAUGCUUAAUUUCGACUUAGGUUUAGGCGUUGCCAGUACUAA
rnacentral:tRNA from 1 species